AAUAAGAUGGCUGAAGAUUAAGGCAUUAAACUGUAAAUUUAAUAAUGGGUUYAUUUAACUCUCUUAUUA
rnacentral:tRNA from 1 species